UACGUAGGGUGCGAGCGUUAAUCGGAAUUACUGGGCGUAAAGCGUGCGCAGGCGGUUUGCUAAGACCGGUGUGAAAUCCCCGGGCUUAACCUGGGAACUGCAUUGGUGACUGGCAGGCUAGAGUAUGGCAGAGGGGGGUAGAAUUCCACGUGUAGCAGUGAAAUGCGUAGAGAUGUGGAGGAAUACCGAUGGCGAAGGCAGCCCCCUGGGCCAAUACUGACGCUCAGGCACGAAAGCGUGGGGAGCAAACAGG
rnacentral:rRNA from 1 species